rnacentral:misc_RNA from 1 species
GUGAAUCAUCGAAUUUUUGAACGCAAAUUGCGCUUCCUGGCAUCCCGGAAAGUAUGCCUGUUUGAGGGUCAGUAUUAUUAUAAAAUCGGGGUAGGUACAAAUUGUGACGUUUCCGGAGUGGGGGCUAUCGGAACAUUUUUUGUUAAGAGGCUUAAAAUUGAACUUUUUUUCGCAUGUUUAAACGGACAUAAAUUUUUUGUAAUCGUGUAUGCUUAAGGCCAAAAUCUUAUCAGUUGCGAGCAGA